rnacentral:rRNA from 1 species
GGCCUACGGGAGGCAGCAGUAGGGAAUUUUCGUCAAUGGGCGCAAGCCUGAACGAGCAAUGCCGCGUGAACGAGGAAGGUCUUCGGAUCGUAAAGUUCUGUUGAAGGGGAAAAAGAGCGGAGAGAGGAAAUGGUCUCCGAUUGAUAUUACCCUUCGAGGAAGUCACGGCUAACUACGUGCCAGCAGCCGCGGUAAUACGUAGGUGGCGAGCGUUAUCCGGAAUGAUUGGGCGUAAAGGGUGAGUAGGCGGCCUGCUAAGUCUGGAGUGAAAGGUACCGGCCCAACCGGGACAGGCUCUGGAAACU